GACGAACGCUGGCGGCGUGCUUAACACAUGCAAGUCGAACGGAAAGGCCCUGCUUGCAGGGUGCUCGAGUGGCGAACGGGUGAGUAACACGUGGGUGAUCUGCCCCUUACUUUGGGAUAAGCCUGGGAAACUGGGUCUAAUACUGGAUAGGACCAUGCUGUAGGUGGUGUGGUGGAAAGAUUAGUUUCGGUAAGGGAUGAGCUCGCGGCCUAUCAGCUUGUUGGUGGGGUAAUGGCCUACCAAGGCGUCGACGGGUAGCCGGCCUGAGAGGGUGGACGGCCACAAUGGGACUGAGAUACGGCCCACACUCCUACGGGAGGCAGCAGUGGGGAAUAUUGCACAAUGAGCGCAAGCCUGAGGCAGCAACGCAGCGUGGGGGAGGACGGCCUUCGGGUUGUAAACUCCUUUCAGCCAUGACGAAGCCCUUGUGGUGACGGUAGUGGUAGAAGAAGCUCCGGCUAACUACGUG
rnacentral:rRNA from 1 species